CCCAAACCACCCUAGUGAAGAAAUGCCCUUGGCAGCAAAUUCCCGUUGAAAGGAAAACAUAAAUUUCUUUAUGAAAUGCAACAGCAGAUCGUGCCAGACUCACAGCUCAGUGACAUGCAAGAGCUCUCAAGGAGAAAAACAAAGGCUUCUGCCAUGGCUGGCUGAAAACAUAAGGGCUUGGCUGGAGAAACAGCCUCUGAAUUCUCUGAGUCACUGCUCACUUACAUCCUGCCCUGCUCCAGCACUUCCUCAUUCACACAGCAGCUCCUUGCAGCAGCAGCACGUCUGGAUCUCAGCACGUGCAGAGGGACACAGGGAGAUCCCACAGAGCCCUCCCUCCCUGUCAGGACAAAGCACCUGCCUCCUGUGGAAGCUGAGCAUCCCUGAACAGCCACCAAAGAUCCAGUCCAGGAGCUGGGACAUGCCCAUGACUGAGCUUUAGUUCAACAACAGAGACACAAGUGGCAGCAGAAGUGUCUGGUGAAGCUCCUGACAAAUUCCC
rnacentral:lncRNA from 1 species